CAUUGAACCUGUAAGUUGCUUUGGGUAUUACUGACAUCUUAACAACCAUACUGCCUUUCACUUUUUACAUCUGCAAGAUGGGACAAUAAUAUAGGAACACAAAACUGCCCCAUGGCUGCUCAUCCCCUGGCCUGGGGGGUGGGGGGUCAGGACACUUGCUCUGUACAGUCUGAUUCUACAUAUUGACACUGUGUCUGGACCAGGGGUGUUACAGAGGGCCCUGCCCCCAAACGCAGAGUCAAAGCACCUCUUCACUCAGAACGAGGAGCUGGGCCCGGGGUGUCUGAGGUUUCUGAGAUCCCAGCUAACCCUGUGGUAAAUAAGGACAAUGGGAGAACACCUUAUUGCUGCUGACCUGGGCCCGGGUAGCCAGGGCAGGGACAGUAACCAGGCCCUAGAGAAGGGAACUCAAGGUCAUACAUAUGCUGGGCUCACGGAUCACGCUCCAGCCCCAUUCCAAGGAAGUCCUCUGGCCCGCAGGCCUGGGGACAGAGAAGAUGGUUACACUUCACUGCUCCAUGUGCACUGAGAGGAGAAAGACAAAGCAGUGAUUCAGUGGAGGCGGGGGACUGAGACCAACCCAUUUAGUUUGUUGCUCCAGUGGCUUGGAGGAGUAGCUACAAGAAGUCCAAGGUCAGCCAGCCAAGCUCUCCUUCACCUGCCUCGGACCUGUACAGGUGGCAGCAGCCAGGCAGGAGCAGGAGGCAGCAGCCAGAGGGUUCAGCACUUGACACAGCACUGCCCAGAGCUGAGUCGACCGGUUUUCCAGAGGCUUUGCUCUCCCAGCAGGCCCAUUUGGAAGCACUGCCUCUUUCCUCCUCGGAGCUCCAGCAGGUCUGCCUCCUCUGCAUGCAACGUGCAUACUAAUUGGAGCCUCUCCCUGAGAAGAAGCCUUCUUUCUGACAGAUUCUUUAAGAAUAGACGUAGGUUUUGAAAAACUCAAGAUGGCAUUGCCUGUAAUUAUAAAGUAAUUGGUGUAAUUGAGAGCGCAGGGUCUUAUGCAAAUCACCCUCCUGUUUUUAACUUUACAUCAAGACUAUUUUUAUUUUUAAAUGCAAAAAAAGAAAAAAAACACCCCACAACCCACAUGUGCAUCUGGGUAUGGCACGUGUGCGUUUUGGUCUGCGGCUCAUGUACAUGAAACACAACAGGCAGUUGCGGGGCAGGAGGAACCGGCCUUCGACUGGUGGUCAAACCACUUUGGUCCUUGCAUGUCUUGGAGAAAGUGGCCAGAAUUCUCUCAGCCUUUGUUUUCUUCGUCUGUAGAGCAGGCAGCAUGAGGAGCCUCCCAGGGCUGUGAGAGUUAAGUGAUGUGGAUGCAGGAGCACUGUAAACUAUGAAGUGUGUUCACAAAUAUUAUCCGCCUUCCCCCUCUCCUUGUUAUUUCCCUUCUUGGAGACUUGGAGUCACCCAGGGGGAGGUGCAGAAGCCACGUCUUGGCCCUUAUGUUGGUAAACCGACCAACAUAAUAUAUUUUUCUAUGUAGUUUUCUAAAUAUUCUUAUUAUUUGUUUCUCCUGUAUACCAAGGAGAUCAGGUGGGGGUCAGAUGGUCACUGAUCAACAGGAAAGCACUUUGGAAAGUGCUGGUGCUGCUGAAUUGCUCCUUUCACUGAGGACCCGGUGGCUCUGCCCUUCAUCCUCACUGAGGCCUUUCUGUGAGCAGCCCUGCUGGCUGCUGUGACCUCAGCUGAGGGUGGAAUCUUCUAAUAGAAGACACCCCGGCACCUGGUCAGGUGUGAAAGCUGUUUCCUGUGACUGCUGGAACAAAUAACCACAAACUUGGGGGCUUAAAACAAAGGAGCUGUGGAGGCCAGAAGUCCAAUAUCCAGCAGGCCUAUGCUCCCUCUGCAAACAACCACAAGAACUGGUCCCCUGCCUCUUGCAGCUUCCUGAGCCCUGUCACCGCAGUCUCUGCCCCCAUCUUUAAUGGCCAUCCACCCAUGUGUCCCCUACUCUGUAUGUCUGCGAAACCUCCUUGGUGUCUCCUAUGGGGACACGGGAUGGUGUCUGGGGCUCAACCACAAAAUCUGGGGUAGUCUCCCUGUCUCAAAAUCCUUAAUUAUGUCUUCAAAGAUGCUUUUCCCAAGUAGCAAAACAUUUACCAAUUCUUGGGACUAAGACUUGACAUAUCUGGGGCACCGUUCAGCUGACUGCAGGAGUGAAGGCUCCCUGGAGCCCAGGGAGGAAUCACCGUGUGACCUCCCACAAGUUACGUCCUCUCUCGGCAUCUCAGUUCCUCAUCUGUGAAGUGGGGAAAAUAAUAGCAUCUGCCUCACAGGGUAGCUGUGAAGGUUAAAUAAAUUCAUACACAUAAGGCACCUAGAAAGUCCUUGGCUCAGGGUCUGCUCUCUCAAAAUGUUCAUUAUUAUUAUCUCUAGUUUUCCCUUAAUACCUGGUGAUAGGUUUGUCAUCACAGUUUCAUUCAGACUCUUCUAGGACUUGAUUAUAUUUGGCCUGAGCAAACCUUUUGCAGUAAAUUUUUAUUUCUUCUGAAAUUAUUUUCCAUGUUUAAAGAAGUAGCACCUAUAAAAAAUAUUUAAUACAAUUUAAGAUCUGGUCUGUUUUUGCUUUUACCAUCAUUUUAUAAUUUUAGAGAAUUUCAUUAUGUCCUCUCAUACUUUUGCAUGUUGAGAAAACAAAAUCAUUGUAGCAUGACCCCACAAAACAGAAGGAAAUCAAAGACUCUCACUGUAUGUUAUCUCAUGUCAUAUCCUACUUAUUCCUGACAUUUCCCUCUAAAUGCCCUGUUAUAGUGACCCGUCUUUGCCCCUACCAACCACCACUGAACCAUAAGCUCUGCAAUAAUUUUACUUAUGAUACAAGUACGAUUAAGUACUAAUUAAUUAAUUAUUCACCAGUAAAAAAACAUAAAAGCCUGCCAAUUAGUUUGUCAUCAAGCUGAUUUGACAUACUUUUAUCAAAAGGCAAAAACACUUGCUAUUUUGGACAUUCCAGUAAGCUUCUAAAAUAGCACAUAAAUUCUUAACAUGAUAAAGAAUAUAUAUGAAAAAAAACCCAUAGUUAACAUUAUACUGAAAACUGAAACACUGAAAAAUUUUUGAAGUGAAAAAGACAGAAAAAUAUGUUUUUGCCAUUUCUAUUCAACACAGUAUUAGAAGUUCUACCCAGAACAAUUAGGCAAGAAAAAGAAAUAAGAGGCAUCCAAAUUGGAAAGGAAGAAGAAAAAUAAUCUCUGUUAACAGAACACAUCUUUUUUUUCUUUUUUUAUGCACAGUAUACAUGAGUUCUUAGGCCAGGGAUUGAACCUGUGCCAUAAUUGUGACCUGAGCCACAGCAGUGAAAAUGCUGUAUCUUUAACUGCUAGGCUACCAGAGAACUUUAUCUUUGUUUUGUUUUGUUUUGUUUUGUUUUUUUAGGGCCGCAGUCCUUGCAUAUGAAAGUUCCCAGGCUAGGGUUCAAAUCAGAGCUGUAGCUGCUAGCCUACACCACAGCCAUAGCAACAGCAACCCUAAAUUUGAGUCUCAUCUAUGACCUAUACCACAGCACAUGGCAACAAUGGAUCCUUAAACCACUGAGCAAGGCCAGGGAUUGAACCCGCAUCCUCAUGGGUACUAGUCGGAUUUGUUACCGCUGAGCCACGACAGGAAAUCCAACAUAAUUUUUUAUAUGUAGAAAGCCCCUAAAGACUUCCCUGAUGACUGUUAAAACUAGUAAAUGAAUUCAGCAAAGUUAUGGGAUACAAAAUCAACACACAAAAAAAUAGGUGAAAUGGUUAGCCAAUGUUCCUAAGACCAUCCAACUGAUAAGAGGCAGUACAAACACCAGCAUGAAGGCACAUGCAGUAGUGUCAGCAUGGAUUCUGGUAUCUGUGCCUGGGUUCCAAUCUGACUCCACAAGCUACAUGACUGUGGUGAGUUUUUUAAUCUGUCUGUGCUUUAGUGUCUCCAUCCAUAACCUGAAGGUAAUGACAGUGCCUCCUUGAUAAAGCUGCAGUGAGGACUGAAUGAAUUAAUGCAUGUAGACAGACAGGGGAAAUGUCUGGCACAUCAAAUAUACUCAUGAAAUCUUGGCUCUUUUUAUCAACCUUUUCUCCUGUUCAUACCCAGCCAGCACAAGCACCUCCUUGUCCCCUAGACCCCGAACUCAUAGGCUCCAUGUGUUGCUCUUCCCUCUCUCCCAUCUCCCUCCCUCUCCUUCUCAGGACUGGCUACCAUGUGCCCUCCACAACUCCAGGCUGAUCCUUGGCAAGGCCCAAGGCCUCACCUCCUUCUAUAAAACCCCCUCCACCUGUGCCUCUGACUAAACCAGGCUUCUCCCAGACAUGCUAUCUUCACCCCCACCCAGGGCUCCUUCCGACUCUGGGCUACCAUGCAUCUGCCCUGGGCCUCAGGGCUGCCUCUCCCUCCUCCCAGCUCCUCUGUAAGAGGACCUUGCUUGGAAUCUCAUGCAAUCUACCAAUGAGUCAACCACUACUCCCAUUCUGGUAAUACUUACCUUCUGCCCCCUUUUACCUUGAAGGAUUUAGUGCCCAAUAGUCCCUUUCUCCAACAUUAUUCUUCUCCUCACCUUGGUGAUUUAAUAUCCAGGUAACCCCUCUUCCAGGAUGCCGCCCUCCACUCCUCUGUGGAUCUUUUCCUUUUCCCUAACUUCAGUUAACCUGCACAGUCACUCCCUCGAUCUUUUACUGAGAACCACAGUCUCCUCACGAGCAUCAUUUCAAUCGUCCCGGAUUCCGACCUCCUCCUCCAUUUCAAGUCCACCCCAUCAAGUAGCUGAACUCCGAGCAUCCUGCUACCCACAUGUGUGGUCCAUGAGUCCACAGCCCAUGCCUGUCCCUCACCUCCCUGUGUGCACACCCUUACCCACACCCCUGUGCCCCUGCCCUAUUCUCCAACCAGAUUUGGACUGACUUGCAUGACUAAACAAGGGUCAGGAAAAACACACAAUCAUGCUGCUUACUUUAGUUUGUGAUCAGUAAGCUUACAGGGGACAGUGAUGCUGUCAGCCCUGACAACCAUGGAGCACAUGCUCUCCCCUGCAGGAUGGCUCCUCACCAAUCCUCAUCUCAGCCAGUGACCUUGUAUGUACUCAAUUGAGAACACUGAAAUAAUGGGGAAGAGUAUCCACGGCUCCCCCUCGCCCCACAUCCUUAGGCCGCCAGUGUGUGUGCACGAGGCGCCUUUUGCUUCAUUCCUGUGAACAGCUGAGCUCCUAUCCCAAAAGGCCAGCCUCCCCGCUCACAUGACCCCAUCUUUCCUCAUUGGCUCAAGGACUCUCCUCUAGCAACUGUCCCCUCGAUCUUGCAGCAUCCAUUAUUCUCACUUGACCACAUCUUUUCCAUCAACACACAAAUACGCUAUUGUUUUUUCUAUUUUAAAAAUCUCUCAGGAGUUCCCUUUGUGGCUCAGUGGUUAAUAAACCUGACUAGGAUCCAUGAGGAUGCAGGUUCGAUCCCUGGCCUCACUCAUUGAGUUAAAGAUCCGGUGUUGCCGUGAGCUGUGGUGUAGGUCACAGACAUGGCUUGGAUCCCCCAUUGCUAUGGCUGUGGCAUAGGCCAGUAGCUGUAGCUCUAAAUCAACCCCUAGCCUGGGAACUUCCAUAUGCUGUGGGCGUGACC
rnacentral:lncRNA from 1 species